rnacentral:lncRNA from 11 species
GGGGUCAUAAGACUCCUCGAGAGUCAGACUCUUUCGAGGAGCGUGAAAGAAAACGGCUCCGGGAUUUGUUUACAGACCCGACAGAUGAGGACUCAUUUGAGGGUUUUUCUGAGGGUUUGGAGGAAGAGAUGGCCAGCUCGGAGGAGGAUGACAUGGAAUGGACUCGUAUAUGACUUUGGCAAUAACAACAGAUAUGCAGAAUCUAUCAGCAGUUCCAUAUAUGCAAUCAACUUGUUUCACACCUAAUA